rnacentral:rRNA from 1 species
AUUGAACGCUGGCGGCAUGCUUUACACAUGCAAGUCGAACGGCAGCGAGGAGAAGCUUGCUUCUCUGCCGGCGAGUGGCGAACGGGUGAGUAUAGCAUCGGAACGUGCCAAGUAGUGGGGGAUAACCAAACGAAAGUUUGGCUAAUACCGCGUAAGCUCUAAGGAGGAAAGUAGGGGACCUAAAUAAGGCCUUACGCUAUUUGAUCGGCCGAUGUCGGAUUAGCUAGUUGGUGGGGUAAUGGCUCACCAAGGCAAUGAUCCGUAGCGGGUCUGAGAGGACGAUCCGCCACACUGGGACUGAGACACGGCCCAGACUCCUACGGGAGGCAGCAGUGGGGAAUUUUGGACAAUGGGGGAAACCCUGAUCCAGCCAUGCCGCGUGUAUGAAGAAGGCCUUAGGGUUGUAAAGUACUUUUGUUAGGGAAGAAAAGCUAGUUUUUAAUAAAAAUUAGUGAUGACGGUACCUAAAGAAUAAGCACCGGCUAACUACGUG